UCUGGAUGGAGACACAAGGAAUUGGUAACUCAUGUCUGGGGAAUGGAACUGGGAAUCAGAGUGGAAGAACUCUUCAUCAUUUAUCCUUCAUGUUGUUUGAAUUUUUAACCAUGUGCACAUAUUACUUUUUCAAAAACUUUAUUGAAAUAUUUAAAAAUAAAAAUUUCAUGAAGUCACAAAAGCUGGAAACCAGUGAACCUUGAGUAAGACCACACAUUACAGAGGGCAUGAUCCUCAGCAUCCUACAAAGAGAAACUUUUUUUUUCAGGCAGGGAAGAAUUUACUUUCAAAUUAAGAAUUUUUAGCUGGACACAAUGGCUGACACUUGUAAUCCCUGCACUUUCUGAGGCUAAGGUGGGAGGAUCACUUGAGCCCAGGAGUUUGAAACCAGCCUGAGAAACAUAGCGAGAUCUCGUCUCUACUAAAAACAGAAAUAAAAACAUUAGUUGGGUGUGGUGCUCUGUGUCUGUAGUCCCAGCUACUUGGGAGACUGAGGCAGGAGGAUAGCUUGAACCCAGAAUUUCAAGGCUGCAGUGAGCUGUGAUCUGGACUCCAGCCUGGGUCACAGAGUGAAACACUAUCUCAAAAACAAGAUAAAAACUAAGAGAAUUUUCAUACUUUGUUUACUUUUGUUUUGUUUGUUUGUUUUUGAGACAGGGUCUUGCUCUGUUGCCCAGGCUGAAGUGCAGUGGUGCAGUUAGCUCACUAUAACCUCAAACUCCUGUGCUCAAGGGAUCCUUCUGCCUAAGCCUCCUCAGUCGCUGGGACCACAGGCACAUGCCACCGUGCCUGGCUAAUUUUUGUAUUUUUUGUAGAGAUGGGGGUUUCACCAUGUUGCCCAGUCUGGUCUCCAACUCCUGAGCUCAGGCAGUCCGGCCACCUCAGCCUUCCAAAGUGCUGUGAUUGCAGUCAGGAACCACCGUACCCAGCUUUUAUUGUUUUAAUGGAAAAAACUGAGUUUUCUUUUAACUUUUUUAUUUAUUUGUUUGUUUUUACACAGAGUCUCACUCCAUCACCCAGGCUGGAGUGCAGUGGCGCGAUCUUGGCUCACUGUAGCCUCCGCCUCACGGGUUUAAACAAUUCUCCUGCCUCAGCCUUCCAAAUAGCUGGGACUACAGGUGUGCACCACCACACCCAGCUAAUUUUUUUUUUUUUUUCUUUUUCACCAUGUUGACCAGACUGGUCUUGAACUGCUGACCUCAGGUGAUCUGCCUGCCUUGGCCUCCCAAAGUGCUAGGAUUAGACAUGAGCCACAGCACCCAGCCCGUUUGUUUGUUUGUUUGUUAUGUAUUUUUUGAGACAGAGUCUCGCUCUGUCGCCCAGGCUGGAGUGCUGUGGCGUGAUCUCGGCUCACUGCAAGCUCUGCCUCCUGGGUUCACACCAUUCUCCUGCCUCAGCCUCCCAAGUAGCUGGGACUACAGGCGCCUGCCACCACGCCCGGCUAAUUUUUUUGUUUUUGUGUUUUUAGUAGAGAAGGGAUUUCAUGGUGUUAGCUAGGAUGGUCUCCAUCUUCCGACCUCGUGAUCCGCCCGCCUCCGCCUCCCAAAGUGCUGGGAUUACAGGCGUCAGUCACCGCGCCCGCACCAUUUGUUUUAUUUGUAAGUGCUCAGAUUUUGAAGUCAGAUGGACCAAGGUUCAGAUCCUGAUUGUUCCAGUUAGUAGACUUUGGGCAAACUACAUAACCCCUGAAGCGUUACUUACCUAAGACUUAGAGAGGCUAAGGUCAUACACGUUAUAAAGGGCAGAACCGGAAUUUCAGCAUUAAAAGUCCAUCUAACUCCAAAACUCUGUGCUCUUACUCAGUGCUAUGUCCACUAAUAAAACUUAGCAGAAGUGGACCACUUAACAGAGUAUGUUAGUCUCUUCAAGCUGCCGCCUCAAAACACCACAGGCUGGGCAGCUUAAACAAUAAAUUUAUUUCUCACAGUUCUGGAGGCCAGGAGUCCAAGAUCAAGGCACCAGCAGGGCCAGUUUCUGGUGAGGCCUCUUGCCCAGCCUGCACACAGCACCUUCUCACUGUGCCCUUUGUGUGGCCAUUUCUGUGUGCACACAGAGAGAAAGGGACAGAGAAAGCUCUGUUGUCUCUUCCUCUUAGAAUGAUACUAGUCUCUACGGUAGAAAAGAAAGUUCAUAGUUAACAUUUAUAAGAUUAUUUAAUGUACUUACAAAAUUGUAAUAAAAACUCUUACUUUAUUAGAGCAUUAGUUUGGAUGAAUUCAAGUCAUUUUGCCAUUUUACAACCCACUUGGAAGACUUUGCUAUUGCCAUGCAGAUGUUCAGUUUAGCUCAUCGUCCUGUCAGACUAGAAGGAAGAAGGCCGGGCAUGGUGGCUCAUGCCUGUAAUCCCAGCACUUUGGGAGUCCAAGGUGGGCGGAUCACAAAGUCAGGAGUUCAAGACCAGCCUGGCCAACAUGGUGAAACCCCAUCUCUACUAAAAAUACAAAAACUAGCUGGGCGUGGUGGCAGGCGCCUGUAAUCCCAGCUAUUCAGGAGGCCGAGGCAAGAGAAUCGCUUGAACCCGGGAGACGGAGGUUGUAGUGAGUCAAGAUCGUGCCAUUGCACUCCAGCCUGGGCGACGAGCAAGAUUCAUCUCAAAUAUAUGUUUAGAGCAUUGAUUAAAUUACAAUAGCUCAUUUGUCUUGCAGUGACUCUCAUGACAUUCGUCGGCUUAUGGUUUGAAUAUUUUCUUCAUGGGUAUUUUUGUUUUUGUUUUACUUCCCAAAUAAUAAAAAUUUGGAUUUGCUUUUACUUCUCAAAUAAUGAAAAUUUAGAUUAAUUUCACUUAGACUAUUUCACAUAGUUGAUAAGUUGUUUUAUGUUUGUUUUUUAGCGGAGUUUAAGAGAGCUGUGAAAGUAGCAACAGGACAAGAACUCUCAAACAAUAUUUUGGACACUGUCUUUAAGAUCUUUGAUUUGGAUGGUGAUGAAUGUCUUAGUCAUGAAGAGUUUCUUGGGGUGUUAAAAAACAGAAUGCAUCGAGGUUUAUGGGUACCACAACAUCAGAGUAUACAAGAAUACUGGAAGUGUGUGAAGAAAGAAAGCAUUAAAGGAGUAAAAGAAGUCUGGAAACAAGCUGGAAAAGGUCUUUUUUAAUAAAAGAUAUAAUAGUAUGGCAAUUAUAUUGUUCCAAAUGUCAAAAUUUGUGAUUUUUUAGAAGUACUUGCUAUUUAUCUUCUUAAGUCUUCAUUGAUAUUCUGUGUGAAAUAAGCAUGUCUUGUACUUGCUUUCUGAUUCAUAA
rnacentral:lncRNA from 1 species